GACGAACCUUGCAAACGUUAUUCGGAAUCACUGGGCUUAAAGGGUGCGUAGGCUGUGCAGAAAGUUGGGUGUGAAAUACCUCGGCUUAACCGAGGAAUUGCGCCCAAAACUACUGUGCUCGAGGAAGAUAGAGGUGAGCGGAACUUAGGGUGGAGCGGUGAAAUGCGUUGAUAUCCUAAGGAACACCGGUGGCGAAAGCGGCUCACUGGAUCUUAUCUGACGCUGAGGCACGAAAGCCAGGGUAGCAAACAG
rnacentral:rRNA from 1 species